CCUCUCAGAAAAUUGCUUUUCAAGAUCAAACAACAUUUUCUUUCUCAUGUUCUUCUUAUGUUCUUAUCCAACAACUCAUUUUGAUCCACGUAAACACCCAAAAUCAUAUCCAAACUAAUUUUUUUAGGAUCAAAACACCUAAAACACCAAAAUCUUCAACCUCUUUCUCAUCCAACCCCAAAAAUCAUCAAGAAUAAAACCUAAGCUAAACCAAAAUCCAAAAGGAUUUUCCCAACUUCACACAACCUAAACUACCAACCCCUAAACCAAAACCCAAUCGCCACCAUCUCCUUCGUCGGAAUCCAACACCGACCGAACACUAGCCACCACUCGGCUAUCAAAUCCAACGCCAGCCGACCACCUAACCAUCACCGACCCUAACGCGUUAGAACCAAGAAACAAGCAAAAAAAAGCUCACAUUGAAACCGGAAUCAACGACGAGCGGUGGUGGCGAAACUUCAAAGCGACGACUCGACGAGGAAGAUGACUGGACAUGCGCUGGUGACUCGUCGGUGAACUCUCGGGUCGGCUGUAGAGGGCGAAGCUUUCUUUGAAAGAUGAAAUCUUAACCAUUGGAUCUAAUCUUGAUCCAACGAUUGAGAUUGAUCCUUGCUUUUUUACUUAGAUGCAUGAUGUGGUUUGAUGAGAGCCAUUGAAUCUAGUUUCUCAUCCAAGGGCUCACAUGAAAUUGUGUUUCUUUCACAUGGAUUAAAGCAAUAGUGAUCUUUGGAUGAAAGCUAAUCAAGGGUGGAGAUUAAUUUGUGUUACUUCACAAAGAUUGGUGAUGUGAUCACCUAAAAAUUUGAACUACUAUAAAUGCCUCAUCUAAAAAGUUGAACUAACAUAAAUGCUUCAUCUUUAACUUUUCAAAACAACAAUCCCCCAAGGCAUCCAAAACCGGCGGCUGAAGCAUGUAUUUAGGCUAGUUUUUGUUGUUGUUGUUAUAUUUGUAAAAAUAUGGGCUAUUAUUUGGGCCUAAAUAACUAUGUAAAUGGAUUAUUAUCUAAUGCAAUGGACUAUUAUUUUUGA